CACGUAGGGUGCGAGCGUUGUCCGGAAUUAUUGGGCGUAAAGAGCUCGUAGGCGGUGUGUCGCGUCGGCCGUGAAAACUUGCAGCUUAACUGUGGGCGUGCGGUCGAUACGGGCAUCACUGGAGUUCGGCAGGGGAGACUGGAAUUCCUGGUGUAGCGGUGAAAUGCGCAGAUAUCAGGAGGAACACCGGUGGCGAAGGCGGGUCUCUGGGCCGAUAUUGACGCUGAGGAGCGAAAGCGUGGGGAGCAAACAGG
rnacentral:rRNA from 1 species